rnacentral:tRNA from 1 species
GGACCCGUGGUUUAGUGGUAAAACGUUCGCUUCACAUGCGAAAGAUUGAUGGUCCGAUUCCAUCCGGGUCCACAA